rnacentral:rRNA from 1 species
UAGAAUAUACCAAGGCGCAAGAGUGAAACCUGGUCAAGGAACUCGGCAAAAUAGCCCCGUAACUUCGGAAGAAGGGGUGCCCCCUCUGGGGGGCCGCAGUGAAAUGGCCCAACCGACUGUUUAGCAAAAACACAGCAUUGUGCUAAGGCGUAAGCCGACGUAUACGAUGUGACACGUGACCAAUGCCAAAAGAUUACGGUAAGAUGUUAGCACUUUAGUGCGAAGCUUCGAGCCCAAGUCCUGGUGAAUGUCGGCCGUAACUAUAACGGUCCUAAGGUAGCGAAAUUCCUUGUCGGGUAAGUUCCGACCUGCACGAAUCGUGCAACGAGUUGGGCGCUGUCUCGACCAGGUGCUCAGUGAAAUUGUAGUUCCGGUGAAGAUGCCGGACACCCGCAGAAGGACGGAAAGACCCUAUAGACCUUAACUGUAAGCUGUUAUUGGUUGUUCGAUCUUAAUGCUCAGCAUAAGUGGGAGACAUUGAAGGGUGCGUUUAGGCGCAUCUGGAGUCAUCAGUGAGAUACCACCCUUUAAUAUUGGAUAAUCUAACCCCGAGCCGUCAUCCGGCCGUGGGGACAAUGGCAGCCGGUCAGUUUUACUGGGGCGGUAUCCUCCUAAAGAGUAACGGAGGAGCGCGAAGGUGGGCUCAGCACAGUUGGCAACUGUGUGUUGAGUGUAAAGGCACAAGCCCGCCUAACUGUGAGACCUACAAGUCGAGCAGAUACGAAAGUAGGCCUUAGUGAUCCGGCGGUAGAAUGUGGAAUUGCCGUCGCUCAACGGAUAAAAGGUACCUUAGGGAUAACAGGCUUAUCACGCCCAAGAGUUCAUAUCGACGGCGUGGUUUGGCACCUCGAUGUCGGCUCGUCGCAUCCUGGGGCUGGAGAAGUCCCAAGGGUCCGGCUGUUCGCCGGUUAAAGCGGCACGCGAGCUGGGUUCAGAACGUCGCGAGACAGUUCGGUCCUCUAUCCUCUGUGGGCGUAGGAAAAUUGAAGGGUUCAGACCUUAGUACGAGAGGACCGGGUUUGACGCACCUCUGGUGUUCCAGUUGUUCUGUCAAGGGCACUGCUGGGUAGCUAAGUGCGGAACGGAUAAGCGCUGAAAGCAUCUAAGCGCCAAGCCAUUCCUGAGAUAAAUUUUCCCUGAAGGAUCGUGGAAGACGACCACGUUGAUAGGCUGGGGGUAGAAGUGCAGCAAUGUAUGUAGCUCACCAGUACUAAUCAUCCGUUCGACUUAAUUC